rnacentral:rRNA from 1 species
AUUGAACGCUGGCGGCAUGCCUUACACAUGCAAGUCGAACGGCAGCACGGGUGCUUGCACCUGGUGGCGAGUGGCGAACGGGUGAGUAAUACAUCGGAACAUGUCCUGUAGUGGGGGAUAGCCCGGCGAAAGCCGGAUUAAUACCGCAUACGAUCUACGGAUGAAAGCGGGGGACCUUCGGGCCUCGCGCUAUAGGGUUGGCCGAUGGCUGAUUAGCUAGUUGGUGGGGUAAAGGCCUACCAAGGCGACGAUCAGUAGCUGGUCUGAGAGGACGACCAGCCACACUGGGACUGAGACACGGCCCAGACUCCUACGGGAGGCAGCAGUGGGGAAUCUUGGACAAUGGGCGAAAGCCUGAUCCAGCAAUGCCGCGUGUGUGAAGAAGGCCUUCGGGUUGUAAAGCACUUUUGUCCGGAAAGAAAUCCUUGGCCCUAAUACGGUCGGGGGAUGACGGUACCGGAAGAAUAAGCACCGGCUAACUACGUG